AAUCAACGCUGGCGGCGUGCCUAACACAUGCAAGUCGAACGCGAAAGCCCCGCAAGGGGUAAGUAGAGUGGCGCACGGGUGAGUAACACGUGGAUAACCUGCCUUUGAGUGGGGAAUAACCUUCCGAAAGGAGGGCUAAUACCGCAUAACACCUUCAGACAAAAGUCUAGGGGUUAAAAGGAGCAAUUCGCUGAAAGAGGGGUCCGCGCCUGAUUAGCUAGUUGGUGGGGUAAUGGCUCACCAAGGCUCGAUCAGUAGCCGUCCUGAGAGGGAGCACGGCCACACUGGAACUGAGACACGGUCCAGACUCC
rnacentral:rRNA from 1 species